GAUGAACGCUGGCGGCGUGCCUAAUACAUGCAAGUCGAGCGAACGGACGAGAAGCUUGCUUCUCUGAUGUUAGCGGCGGACGGGUGAGUAACACGUGGAUAACCUACCUAUAGACUGGGAUAACUUCGGGAAACCGGAGCUAAUGCCGGAUAAUAUUUUGAACCGCAUGGUUCAAAAGUGAAAGACGGUCUUGCUGUCACUUAUAGAUGGAUCCGCGCUGCAUUAGCUAGUUGGUAAGGUAACGGCUUACCAAGGCAACGAUGCAUAGCCGACCUGAGAGGGUGAUCGGCCACACUGGAACUGAGACACGGUCCAGACUCCUACGGGAGGCAGCAGUAGGGAAUCUUCCGCAAUGGGCGAAAGCCUGACGGAGCAACGCCGCGUGAGUGAUGAAGGUCUUCGGAUCGUAAAACUCUGUUAUUAGGGAAGAACAUAUGUGUAAGUAACUGUGCACAUCUUGACGGUACCUAAUCAGAAAGCCACGGCUAACUACGUG
rnacentral:rRNA from 1 species